AAUAAACGCUGGCGGCGUGCCUAACACAUGCAAGUCGAACGAGAAAGGCUGAUUUUCGGAUUGGCCGAGUAAAGUGGCGCACGGGUGAGUAACGCGUAGGUAACCUGCCCUUGUAUUUGGGAUAACAGAGCGAAAGUUCUGCUAAUACCGGAUGUGCCCUGGAUGCGGUGGCAUCUAGGUGAAAGUCGGCCUCUUCAUGAAAGCUGACGUACAGGGAUGGGCCUGCGUCCUAUCAGCUAGUUGGUGGGGUAACGGCCCACCAAGGCGACGACGGGUAGCUGGUCUGAGAGGAUGAGCAGCCACACUGGCACUGGAACACGGGCCAGACUCCUACGGGAGGCAGCAGUGAGGAAUUUUGCGCAAUGGCCGCAAGGCUGACGCAGCAACGCCGCGUGGGUGAAGAAGGCCUUCGGGUCGUAAAGCCCUGUCAGGUGGGAAGAAAGGCUUGGUUGGGAAUACUGAUUGAGUUUGACGGUACCACCAGAGGAAGCACCGGCUAACUCCGUGCCAGCCGCCGCAGUAAAAC
rnacentral:rRNA from 1 species